rnacentral:rRNA from 1 species
UGAUUUUUUAAUAGUUAUAUUUAUUAAUUAGGUAGUUUCUUUUAAUAUUUAGAAAAAGAGUUAUAAAAGGCGAUAGAGUUAGUACUGUGAGGGAAGUCAUAAAAAUGAAAGGAUUAAUCUUUGAGAAGUUGAUCUUUGUCGUACCUUUUGUAUUAGGGCUUAAUUAAAAAGGGAAAAUAUUUUUUGGUCCCGAAAUAUUUUGAGCUACUAGGAAUAAUCUUGAACGUUUUAGAGUUUAAGUGAAUUUUUUGGUUGAAAUGAAAUUUUAUUCGAAAUGUAGGAUAUCUGGUUAUAGAAAGAAAACUAUAUGUUUUUAUAUAAUGAUUUGUGUAUAAGUAUUAUUAUAUUUUUUACUUUUUAAGGAUAAGCUUGAGAAGGAGGGUAUAUAAUUAAAAAACAAAAGUUUAAGGUUUAAAAUUUACUUUAUUUUGUAAUAAAAAAAUGUUUUUUAUUGGAUUUAUUUAUAUUUGAUUUAAAUAUUUAGAAGAUAAAGGAAUUAAUAUUAAAAUUAGUAUAAGUGAGGAUUAAUAUAUUGUUUAAUUUUUUUCUAAAAAGGUAUUAAAUUAAUAGGAAUUCGGCAUAAAUUAUUUUUGAAUGUUUAUCAAAAACAUUGUAUUUUGUUAAAAAUAAAAUAUAUGACCUGCUCAAUGUAUUAUAAAUUGCUGUGGUAUUAUGACUAUACGAAGGUACUGAAAUAAGGCUUUUAAUGGGUGCUAAGAGAAUGGUUUAACAGGGAUUUUCUUUCUUUUUUUUUUUAAUAAAAUUUGAUUUAAAAAUGAAAAAGUUUUUAUUUUUUGCUGGGACAAAAAGACCCUAUGAAUUUUUUAUAAUUAAAAUUUUUAAUUAUUUUUUAAAAAAAAUUUAAGUUUUUUGUUUAUUUGGUUGGGGUGACUUUUAAAGAAUAAUUAUCUUUAAAAUUUUUAAUAAAUGGUUCCACUAUUAGUGAUUAUUUGAGAAAAAUACUCUAGGGAUAACAGCGUUAUUAUUUUGGAUAGUUCACAUAGAUAAAAUAGUUUGCGACCUCGAUGUUGGAUUAGAAUUCUUUUAUAGUGAAGAAGCUAUGUGAAGGAGUUUGCUCAACUUUUAAUUUUCUACAUGAUCUGAGUUCAGACCGGCGAAAGCCAGGUUGGUUUCUACCUAGAAAUUAAGGAGAAUUUUCGUAGUACGAAAGGAAUUGAUAAUUUAAAUUAUUUAAAAAAUGAUAAUAGUUUUAUUUUAAAAA